rnacentral:ncRNA from 1 species
AGCAGGUGCGGCGAUGGAUCUCGCCGGAUUUCCUGUUCGGGAAAUCGAACCGCCUCUCGGCUGAUAGUUCCUGCUGAUGA